UGUGGCUUCACCUGCCUUGCACUCCUGGUUUUGGUGCUUUCCCUGUCCUUGCUGACCGUGUUUGUUCUGGGGUUUCUCAGCCCCAGCCCACCCAAGGAUGCAGUGUUUGGCACUGGGAUUUCUUCCUCCAUGCGUGGGCAUUAGAAGAUGGGAAGUGAUGCUUCUUCUGGCGCCCAAUGCUCCCACCCUCCGUCACCUCCUGGGUCCCGCUGGCUGCAGGGCUGAUCCCAGCCCAGGGCAGAUGUUCCCUCCUGCCCCAGAAACCACCACUCCUUCCCAGCUGUCCUCUUCCUUCUGUAAAUCACUCCAGCAAUUCCUCCCAGCCACCAGCUCCAAGCAGUUUGCCCGAGCGCUGGAAGGAGAAGGCAGCUCCGACACUGCUGCGGCUUCCCUAGCUGCGAGGGGAGAUGCCCGGGUCCCUGGGCAGGCUGGCAGCCAGGUGAGCGGGGUCCUGGGGAGGGAGGCUGGUGGGCACCCAGCCUGGCCUCGCACCUGGCAGGGACGUGGGGAAAGCUGGUACUACUGCAGGGCGGCCAUGGGGAGGUGGGGGUCUGGCCGAGGAUCCCACUCAUGGCUUGUGUUGUCCAUUGGUCAUGCUGUCACCUCUCCAUCCUCAUCCUCCUGCCUGAAUCUCCACUCGCUGUGA
rnacentral:lncRNA from 1 species